rnacentral:rRNA from 1 species
ACCUGAUCCAGCGACGCCGCGUGGACGAUGAAGGUCUUCGGAUCGUAAAGUCCUUUUGUUAGGGAAGAAUAUUUUGACGGUACCUAACGAAUAAGAGGUUGCUAACUCUGUGCCAGCAGCAGCGGUAAUACAGAGACCUCGAGCGUUAUCCGGAAUCAUUGGGCGUAAAGCGUACCGAUAGGUGGUUAAGAAAGUCAGAUGUGAAAUCUCCGAGCUCAACUCGGAAUCUGUCAUUUGAAACUUCUUGACUAGAGGAGCAAAGAGGAAGCUGGAACGAACGGUGUAGUAGUGAAAUGCGUUGAUAUCGUUCGGAACACCAAUAGCGUAGGCAGGCUUCUGGGUGCUACCUGACACUGCUAGGACGAAAGCGUGGGGAGCGAAGGGGAUUAGAUACCCCCGUAGUCCACGCUGUAAACGAUGUACAUUAGGCGCUAGGGAGUAUCGACCCUCUUUAGUGCCAAAGCUAACGCGUUAAAUGUACCGCCUGGGGAGUACGGCCGCAAGGCUA